UUGAAUGUGGACUUGGAUGUUGCCGUUUUAUCACGGCUCRUCUUAAAUGCCUGAGUGUACCCUGUUUUGCAGCGUAUCCAGUGUAAUAAACAUUUCACUAGAGUUGGUCRAAAGACCGCGUUGACUAUAUGGGCUCUAUGCUUCAAACCGUCUGCUCUGUGGACAAUUUCUUGACAAUUUGACCUCAAAUCGGGUGGGACUACCCGCUGAACUUAAGCAUAUCAAUAAGCGGAGGAAAAGAAACUAACAAGGAUUCCCCUAGUAACGGCGAGUGAAGAGGGAAAAGCUCAAAUUUUGAAUCUGGUGUCUUUGACUCCCGAGUUGUAAUCUAGAGAAGUGUUUUCCGUGUCGGACCGUGUACAAGUUCCCUGGAACGGGGCGUCAUAGAGGGUGAGAAUCCCGUAUAUGCCACGGACUACCGAUGCUCUGUGAUACACUCUCAACGAGUCGAGUUGUUUGGGAAUGCAGCUCAAAAUGGGUGGUAAAUUCCAUCUAAAGCUAAAUAUUGGCGAGAGACCGAUAGCGAACAAGUACCGUGAGGGAAAGAUGAAAAGCACUUUGGAAAGAGAGUGAAACAGUACGUGAAAUUGUUGAAAGGGAAGCGUUUGAAGUCAGUCGCAUCUGUUGGGGUUCAGCCUGGCUUUUGCCUGGUGUAUUUCCUUUCCGAUGGGUCAGCAUCAGUUUYGACCGAGGGAAAAAGACAUUUGGAAUGUGGCUGUCUUCGGGCAGUGUUAUAGCCUUGUGUUGUAUGUCUCGGUUGGGACUGAGGAUUGCAGCGCGCCAUAAAUGGCCGGGGGUCGCUCCUCUCGACACGCGCUUAGGAUGCUGGCAUAAUGGCUUUAAGCGACC
rnacentral:rRNA from 1 species